rnacentral:lncRNA from 1 species
CCGCCGCCGCCGCUGUCGUCCGCUGAGCUCGCACUGACGGCCCGCUGUGUGCUCGCUGUUGCAGACGCCGCCGCCGCGCCGCCGCCGCCGAGCCGCAGCCCGCGCCGCGACUGCGCCUCCUAGACUAUACUAGACUAGACUCGAUCGCUCGUAGCUCGUUCUCGAAACCAUCCUCAGUGAUCAGUGUUUCUGCUUUCUGUUUCAGGCUAGAUUUGUAAGUUAGGUUAUUGUGCUAUACGCUUAGGCGUGGUGCCGAGUCGACUCCGGGUCCCGGGCAGCCUCCUCGCCGCCGGUCCGGUCAUAAUGUGGCUUCAUCUCGGCGCCCAUCUACGACUUGCAGCAGAUUGGAGAUGUGUUCACAGGCCCGGGCGCCAAGUGCUCGACGCUGCCGGCCAUCCUGGGCGGCUCGCUGCCGCGCCUGGCCGGCGACCAGGCCGACGCCGUCGCACGCGCCAA